UCCAUACUCCAGCUUGUAAAGGGUUAUAGUCCAGGUGAAGAGCCAAGACAUCGUAAUCCUUGUAUUUUUUUCACUUUCAGAAGAGGCAUAGACCUCCUUCCAAGAAGUGCUUAGAAGUAUAUACAGUGCUGCAGAAAGCAUGUUCACAAUUGUUCAGAGUAAAUGGAGUAGCUUUCCACAAAUUACUUAAGCGGUCUCACAUAAGAUGCACUUGCUGUCCCUUCUUUCUGAAACAGUGGUUCAUCAGGCAGAGCCAGCUACAAAGAACUCACAUGAGUGCAAAUUCUCUCAAAGCACCAGUCUUUGCUAUUUGCAGUGCUGUCAGCCAUAACCUGAAGAAAAGGCUUUAGUGCUCAAACUCCAAAACUGCAAGAGAAGAAUACACUAUUAACUACAUGUUAAGAGGAACUUCUACCAACACACAUCAACUUUUUCAACCAACAUUAACUAGCAGCAAUCUUCGAGAGGAGAGAGUAUACGAAAACCAAAAAUAAUCAUGCUGGUUUUGUUACUCUUCUGUCAUAGUAUUAGCAUUCUGCUUCUAAUAAACAAUUUUGGCUUACACAAUUACUAAAGUCACUUCAGAUCAUUUUGAUAAUUCCCUGUUUCAAGUACCUCGGGAUACUGCUACAAGCAACCCUGAAGAUACUCCUACCUGCCCAAGGUUCCUCCAGCCUGAGUGUAGUAUUUGUUAUAAUCCAAACGUAGCAGCAGCUGAGCUAAGUCAGAGUUUAUCUGAUGGUUGCGAACACUAGAGAGAAUCUUGAAGAGAAGUGAUGACUGUCGACUGAAUCCCUACAAAGUAGAGGAAGUCAGCUUUAGGCUCUCUCAGUAAAACACUUUCAUCAGUUCCUGCCUAAACAAUCCUUUAACAACCUGAAGAAGAGAAUCACUGCAAGAGAAGCGAUGCUUAUGACUCAUGAUAAGGUAAUACUGAAGAUUGUCCACAAGGAAAGCCAUGUGAUCCCUCAGACGCCACUUGAUAGCAUCAGUUCUGUUAGAUUUCAGGUGCUUCCGCUGCAUCUGGAGAGCCCAGCAGUGUUGUAGCUCAGCUUGAACCCGCCGUACGCUCAGGAGGUGGAGCAGAGGGAGAAGAUUGUCAUCAUCUAACAGUACCUUAUGAGCAGACUGCUGAAAUGCAACAUUGACAUCUGACAAGGAGAGAGCACAGAUGUCAGAUUACUGAAGAUGCUACAUUAAUGACAAUUUGGCACCCACUACUUAUUUAUGCUGGACAAUUCAAGACAAAAUUGGCACACCAUUUCCACCAUUUUUAUUUAAUCCCUGUCUUGAAUAUGGAGAAAAACCUGUCAUCUGCAAGUUUCUGGAAGAUGUUUUCACCCAUGCUGUGAGUGAUUCUAAUCCAUAUGUGCUGCUCUUUCAAGAUUAAUGAAGAUACAUAAGCUAGAGCUCUUCUGUACUGAACAUCGUUAACCAUCUUCCUGCCAUAGCAGAGUAAGGACAAUUUCAUGAGUGACUGAGGAACACUCACCAUGUUCAGUUACAGCUGUAGGUGGUGUUUUUAACAUGUGCUGUGCAGUGUCAAUGAAGGCUUGAAACAGCUCACCUCUUCCCAAAAGGUAAAAAUCUUUAAUAAUCUGUGGAAGUAAGUUUUUGGAUAUAAGCAUGUCAAAAACUGAGCAGAAAUCUUAUGCAUCCUAGUUUACAACAUCCAUUUUUAUUACUGCUUAGACAACUUGUGCUACUUCAAAACAUAUCUGGAAAGCUCAUAAUUUCAUCCUGCACCCAGAACAUCUGUGAUGCCUUGCUUCAGAAU